CAAAGUCCAUCAGGUGUUAGGACUCCAAUGUAGUAUCAAAAUCUAUACAGUAUAAAUUAAUAUCGUUGAGUUGCCUGGAAUGAAAUUACAAUAAUAUAGUCACAUGCAGUCCCUUUUAGACUUUGUUACUGGUGCCAGAGUCUUAGAAUUUCUCUUAAGUGUAGUACGUAUAAGCAAUUGAUUUUACUUGGCUUAUCACUAAGCAGUAUGCUCGAG